CGCAGACAUUCAGAAGAAGUGUUGUUAUUUGCCAAAUAUGGAAACUGGAGUUAAUCUCAAUUGUAAAAAUCAACAUGUUUAAUAAUAAUGCUUCUUUUCUCAUUCCCCCACGUAUUAAAACAAUAGGCCUACCAACAGGACUAGACAAACACUCAUGUCACUCAACACAUUGAUGGAGCAAAUCCAAAGUAACCAAAGCUCUUAACAUCGCCACGCUACCACCACUUUACAGAGAGGCUGGGCCUGCAGUCACCACACACUGAGCAGACGGCGCUGCCAUAGUGAAAACAAAUAUAUAUAUAUUUUUUAUAGAUUCUUUUUUUUUGUAACAUGCUGAAAAAAGUGUGUGGCCGGUGUCCCCCCGUGUGCCCCGCCCACUACAGCCCUGGUAACGACUGAUCAUUCUCAAUUAUUAGAUACAUUUUUAAUGAACUGCAAUAAAUGUUCGCUCCAGCCACAUGCACCGUGAUUCCAUCCCAGUGUCUGUCUUUUCUUAUUUCUACAGGACGCCCUCUCUACAAUAUCUACGGUGGCCUGUGUGGACACACUGGAGGGAGACAGUGAAGGACACAUCCGCUUCAAGACCCCCGAGGAAGCCCAGGUCGUCGUCAAGGACCGCUCGGCCGUCGCCAAGGAACACGGCUGGACGCUGGAUCUGCUCUCCGGUGAUCAUGAGUAAAGGUAUUGGCAGAAGAUUUUGGCGGACCGCCAAGUGAAGUUGAACCGUCCGAGGGAAAAGAAACGAGGGACAGAAAAGGUGGGAGAGAAAUACAAAUAUGAACUCCAUGUCUGCUUGGAAAAUGCAUGCAGGUGACAUCUCCUUUAACACUCUCUAUUGUUGUUAUGUGUGUGUGUGUUAUACGGUGGGCAAUGGGAUUGUACGGUGGGCAAAUGGGAUUCACCAAUAUGGCGGCUUGGAAUGUGCGUUUUCUUAAAGGGCUGCAUCCAGCAAAAGUCUAGGUGGACACGCCCACUUGUGAUGUCACUUAGUGAUGGGUCGUUUGCGACUGAAUCAGUUCAAUGGAACGACUCUUUAACAAGAACCAACCGACUGGAUUCCACGUUUCAGUUCUCUCUCCUUUGUCUCUAUCGUUCGUUCUCCAAGACGAGACUCCCACUCGCUGACUCACUGUUCACUGUGUUAAGUUAGCAGAGCAGUGAAGAGGGACUGACCUGGGCAACAACAUCCCGAUUCCGAACUUGAAGCGCUCCUCAGCUGAAGGGAACUUCAUUAUAAUGUUGUGUGUUGAUUGAUGACCGAUUGCACGAUUGUUUGAGAACGAGGGAGGAGCUGAAUCUGAAUCAGCUGAGAACCGUGCAUUCCAUGGUUGACUGCUUCCGGAUACGCGACUGAACCAACAAACAAACGAUUCUGAACGAUUCUUCUUGGCGAACUGACCGACGGGAACUGAAUUAGGAAAAUAAUCAUGAAAUCCAUCACUAAUGUCAC